ACGUAGGUGUCGAGCGUUGUUCGGAUUCAUUGGGCGUAAAGGGUCCGUAGGCGGUUGGUUAAGUCUGAUGUGAAAUCCCGGAGCUCAACUCCGGAACUGCAUUGGAAACUGACUGACUAGAGGAUCGGAGAGGAGAUUGGAAUUCCAGGUGUAGCGAUGAAAUGCGUAGAUAUCUGGAAGAACACCUAAAGCGAAGGCAGAUCUCUGGACGAUUCCUGACGCUCAGGAACGAAAGCGUGGGGCGCAAACAG
rnacentral:rRNA from 1 species